AUGCGGCAACAGUACAAACCCAUAAUUGAACAAAUAAUCUUCUCAUGACAAAAGGAGAGCUCCUUUUUUUUUCCUUAUUGGGAGGAUACUGGGAGGGAAAUAUGUGAGAGAAGAGUCCAAUAUAACCAUGGACGCCCACAAAUGAGGAUUAACAUUUAAGCUACAGUUGUGGAUCCAACAUGGACCCCAGAGCAAUCAAAGGCAUUAACACAACAGAUGUAUUAACCAUUUAUGGUGCAGCUAUGAGCAAAAGAUAGAAUUCUAAAACCGCAGGUUCAUUAUGAUGGACCUAAUAUAUCCUUUUUACUGAUAAAAACUAAAAAGAAAAUAAACUCAAAGGUUGCUCACUUGUGUUUUAUCAUAUUUCUCUUUGUUAGAAAAUAACCUGUGCUAUCCAUAUUUAUAACACCAGAAAAGCCACUACAAGUUCACAGAAUCUUUCACGUACAUCAUAUGCAAGCCCCAAAUAGUUUGACAUGGACACAGAGAAAUGUUGAGACGUAUCAUAUACUAAAAUUGUAAUGCUGUCAAUUUCCUUAAAAAUAAGAAAUAAAAUCCUCUGCUGCCUAAUAUUUCAGAAAUUAAAGAAUUCAAAUGAUGGAAAAUUAUGCUGUUAAUGAUACAAUGACAAAGCUAUUAAGCCAGCUUUAAAAAUUUCUAAAUUAAGGCCUGCCUACCAGACAAUUUGCAGUUUGAAUCAUGUAAAAGACAGUCGAAAGGG